rnacentral:lncRNA from 1 species
UUUCUGAUCGUCCUUCAUAAUUUUUGCCCCUAAAAUUGCCCUAAAUUACCCACUAUGCCAUCCACAAGUCAAAAAACGAUUCAGAUUUCUUUACCUGUCAAAAUCGUCGUGCGGUUUCGUUCUUAUAAGAUUGGACACAACAAUGUUUCAAUUACAUGUGUAGUGUGGUGGCUGAAGCCUUGCCCUCCUACACGGCACACCCGGGUUCGAACCUCGGUCCCUACGGCUUUUUUUGAGUCCCCCUUUUCUUUUUUUGUUACAACUAGCGUUUACAUCCUCCUCCCUAGUACGGGUUCAUGGUCCGGCACAAAUUUUAUCUUUAUUUUUUUGCCUUUUCUUUUUUCAUUUCAAUUUUUGUUUUCCUAUCUUUAAGUUAAUUCGUAAUUUCCCAAAAAACCAAAUUUUAAAAGUUCGAGUUCUAAAAAAUUGUUCAUGAAAUCAUAACAUGUUUAUUAUUCAUAAAAUUAGAACUUUGUAAAAAAUCAUGAAUUUGAAAAAUGUUUACGAUUUCUAAUAAAGUUUAUUAUUUCAAAAAUGAAUUGUGGAUCAGACAAAUUUUCAAUAUUCAAAAAUUUGUAAGAUUUUAGGAAAAAUGAAAAAUAAAUAAAUAGAAAAACUAAGAGAAAAUGUGAAACCGAAAAAAGAGAUAAAACAUAAGAGAAUUAAAAAAACAGGCAAAGCGUGGUUCAUUUCCCGAAAGCAAUGAUUGGUAUGAGGUUUAUGUACCAGUGGCUUAAUAUUAAUUUUCAUAUUAAUUGAAAUUGAGUUAAUAAUGAUUUUUAUUUUCAUACUGUCAUGUGAUUUAUUUUAGUGGUUUUCCAUAAGAUUGAUCUAAAUAGCUCUAGAAUUUGAGCAGUUAAGUCUUUUAGGUUUAGGUUUUAAUUAGUUUUUGAGAAGUGUUUAUAUGCCUAGGGAUUGGAAGUAGUUUGUGAUCGACGAGAUUAGCUGUUAAAGUUUUAAACAUUUCAUUAUGCUACACAAUAACAACUGUAGCGUGCAGUGGCAUGCUCAUAACCUUGAGAUUUACCACGUCAAAUGCAUUGUGAUUAUAUGAACACGCCACGCAUUAUUAAAGAAGAUGGAAAAAAUAAAGAAGUGUCAACAUGAUGAGCCAUCGUGUUAAAAUAAAAAAAUAAAAAACGCUCAUACAUCAAGGUAUUGAACCAUACUUAUUUGGCUAGGGCGUAAUAUUUUGUAACCCGUUGCAACGCACGGGCAUAUUUGGCUAGUUAUUAUCACAAGCUAAUAAACGGGGUGAUGAUGGUUAAAAAAAAUGAAAAAAGCUGCUCUUCAGCCGGCGGAAAACUCCAACGCAUCAUUCGCCUCCCUCAAACAACACGUGUCCCUAUGGUCCAUCCACGUAUCUCUUUCUAGCCCUAUCUCUUCUUCAACCUCCUCCCUCCACUCAUUUCUUCUGAGAGAGGGUCUGGUGGGAGGCCAGGAGGGGCGGGCUGACCGGGGCAAGGUGCGCCUUCGCUGUUGUUGAGAAGACCGCCGGUGGAAGGAGUUCAAGUGUAUCUUCAGGUUGGAUUUUUGGAUCCCGUCUCCUGCCUCUCCCUCUCUUACCUUUUCCUCUUCAGUUUUCUGCAACGCGGUCGUUGCUUCUACAACGCAUCCGUUGUUUCAGGAGUUUCGGUUGGAUUUUUGGAUCCCGUCUCCUACCUCGCCCUCUGCAUUUAUCUCUCUUCAGUUUUUUGCAACGUAGUCGUUUGUUGCAAAAAUUCUACAACAAAGAUGAAGAAAAUUUCUGAAACAUGAUCUUUGUUGCAAAAAUUUCUCCCGCAACAGUACCUGUGUUGCAGAAAGACAGAAACAAAAUUCUGCAACAAAGCGAUUGUUUCUGCAACUCAACCGUUGUUUCAGGAAUUAAUGGGUCCAAAGUUUAUUUUUUGCAACAAAGCGAUUGUUUCUGCAACUCGACCGUCGUUUCAGAAAUUACUGGAUGCCCGACAGGAGCCCCACGCGCGCGGAUCGUACGGCUACGCGCGUAGAUCGGACGAUCAUUUAGGUGGCGGAUGUUUAGGAUGUUUUACUAAACAUCCGCCGGUGGAUGUGUAGCAGCCCCUAAAAAAAUCUUCCCAAGUGGGCCUUUUUGCGAUGCUGACAGGUGGGACCCAUUGCCAGAUGCACCGUCUCCGCCGAGCAAUCGAUUCUCGUCGAUGCCACCGGCAGCGCCGUCGCCUCCUCUCCGCCGUCGCUGGCGGCGACCAGCAGAUCCGCGACAUCCCGCCUACCACCUGCGCUGUCCCAUGGAACCGCAUCCUCCGCGCCCACAUCUGCCGCUCCCGUCCGGACCUCGCGCUCGCGCUCUACCGCCGCAUGCGCGCGCUCUCCCCCACGCUCCCCAACUCCUACACGCUCCCCCUCGCCCUCCGCGCGGGGACCUCCGCACGAAUCGCGUCCGCCAUCCACGCACACGCCCUCCACCUUGGCCUGCAUGCCCACCCGGACGUCGCCCGCCAGCUCCUCGCCGCCUACGCCAGGCACGGCCUCGCCGACGAGGCCCGCCACGUGUUCGACGCAAUGCCGUCGAAGAGGACCACCAUGUCCUGGAACAUGCUCAUCUCCGCGUACUCGGUCUGCUGCGACCCCAACAACGCAAUGGCCACGUUCGCGCGCAUGGCCGCCACUGACGAGCCGCUCCCCGACGCCGUGACGUGGACGACGCUGCUCUCGGCGCACGCGAGGUGCGGUAAGCACCCGGUGGUUCUUGAACUGUUCGGAGACAUGUACCGCAGCGGAUGCGAAGGUAACGCCGAGUCCGUGGCCGUGGCUCUCUCGGCGUGCCCUUACGCUGGCGACCUCGCAUUGGCGAAAGGGAAGGCGAUACAUGGCUAUGGCUUCACGAAGGGCGUCGUGCGCGGCUACCUGUUCGUGACGAACUCACUGGUGUGCAUGUACGGCAAGCUGGGCGAGAUGGACGACGCCCGGAAGGUUUUCCGGGAAGCCGGGGAGAGGAACAUCGUGACAUGGAACGCCAUCAUCACCAGCUACGCUGCUGCUGGGAUGUGCGACGAAGCGUUAGACGUGCUCGUCCGGAUGGGGCAGCGUGGCGGUAUGGCUGCGCCCAAUGUGGUGAGCUGGAGCGCUGUCAUUGGCGGCUUCGCGUCGUCUGGGGACUAUGAGCGCGCGCUGGAGCUGUUCCGGCGGAUGCAACGGCAAUGGCUUUCGCCGAACGUGGUGACCUUGGCUACCGUUCUCUCAGCCUGCACCGAGCUACUGGCGGUGCGGCUGGGUCGGGAGGUCCAUUCCUACGCGAUCAGGUCCAUGCUCGACCGGCACUCGCUCGUCGAGAACGGACUUAUCAACAUGUACGCCAAGUGCGGGAGAGUUGCCGCCGCACGCACGGUGUUUGACGGUAUGAAGAGCAGGGACCUGGUCUCCUGGAACUCCAUGUUGGCCGGCUACGGGAUGCACGGCCUGUGCGACAACGCCCUCGCACUCUUUGCAGAUAUGGCCGAAGCUAAUGUCGAUCCUGACGGCGUCACAUUCGUCGCCGUUCUGUCGGCGUGUAGCCAUGCAGGCCGCGUGUGGGAGGGCCGCCGUCUGUUUGAUCAGAUGAUGCUGGAGCACAAAAUCUCCCCGUCCAUGGAGCACUAUACGUGCAUGGUAGACCUCCUGGGCCGUGCCGGCUUGCUCAAGGACGCGUCCAAGCUCAUCGAGACGAUGCCCAUGGAAGCCGACCUGUGCGUGUGGGGGGCGCUGCUCAACUCCUGCAGGAUCCAUGGGGACGCAGCCAUGGCCGAAGCCACCAUCGCGAAGGUUCUGCAGGCCGGCGCGGAGACCACCGGCAACCACACGCUGAUCACGAACCUGUACGCCGCGUGCGGGAUGUGGGACGACUCCAAGAGGGUGAGGGUGAUGACAAGGGAGGCCGGCUUGAGGAAGAACCCGGGGCAGAGCUGGAUUGAGGUGAAGAACAAGGUGUUCGCCUUCGUGGCCGGCCGCGUGCCGCCGUCGUUGCCCGGAGCUGAGGAGGUCUUCAGAGUGCUCGAUGAUUUGUAUCGCGAAAUGGAUGACGAGAGACGUAGCAUAGAGGAGGAUCACAUUGUAAACGUUCGAUAGAAGAGAAAGCGUUUGCGGAUACACCUAUCUCGUACAGCAGGCCUAACAGAGCGAGCAAGUCUUUCAGAUUGGCUCUUGUGAUCCCAAGAAGAGCCUGAGGGUCCUGCCAUGGCGCCGUUGCCGUAGUCCCCGCAGGCGAGCCGCUUGGUCACCGGAGGGAUGAGGGAGACGCCGAGGCCGGCGACGACGUCGAGGUGGCGGCUGGUGAAGGGGUUGUCCCACAUGAAGGUGUUCAUGGCCGGCGCGACGUAGAUUCACCACGCACGUGAGGAGGUUGUCGCACAGCCCGCCGGCCAUCUGAGCGCGGCAGAUCGAGAGAAAAAAAUGGUCAAAACAGGAUAGCAACGCAACGGAACACCGCAGGUGUGUCCACGGUAUUGCCUACCUUGGCCAGUGUGUUUGCCGAGAGCGGCGCGAUGAGCAUGGCGUCGGCUCACUUGCGCAGCUCGAUGUGCAGGACCUCGUCGCCGAUCCUCCCCCAGGUGGACCACUCGUCGGCGUUGGUGAGGAGGGCGACGACGCUCGGGAAGGACCCCCUGUCGAUGAAGUGCAGGGACGAGGCCGUUGCCACGGCCCGGACGUCGGCCCACUCGGAGAGGCUCCGGCAGAGGAUCUCGAACUUGAUCGCAGCCACGCUGCCGGAGGCCGCGGGGCCUCCGAGGCUGAGCGGCGCCGGCGCACGGCGACAGCUGCUCUUGCGUGGCCAUUGAUUGCACUUGUGAAUUGCGAUGGCUCUUCGUGUUGGAAAUGAAAAGGCAACUCUCUGAAAUCACUGAAGGAAGAUGGGAAGUAAUUGCGGCACUUAACCCUCUAGAUCGGCAGGAGGGGGACGACAAGAAGGGCCGGAGUUAGCUGGAGAAACAAACAGCAGUAAAUUGCGCCAGCGACCCAGAAUGCAGCAGCAGCAACAGGCACAGCAUCACAUCGAGGCAUUCACCAGCACCACCCAAGGACAACACAUUUUCAUUUGGAUCUGCCCAGUUCAGAUCUUAUUCAAAGCCAUGACUCAAGAGUUCAAGGCAGGGAGGAGGCCCGAGAGCCGCCAAUGGUUUCAACACACAAGUUCUCCAAGGGACAAAUUCAGUUUCUAGUUCCUGGAGCCUUAGACUGGCCACGACGACGACAGUUGGUGCGACCGCCUAGUCUGCUGUCUCGCUGCCUACAUGCUGUCCGAGAUCGACCUCAGCUUCCCGUGACGACGCCAGAAGGCGUCGUCCUUCUUCUCCACGGCCAGCAGGUCCUCGAAAGCGGUAUCGCGUACCCCUGUGGCGAAGGCUGCUUCACGGAUUUUCUUCUCCGCUUCAUCGUUGCUCUCCUCCAUCUGCCAUGGUGAAAGGUUUGGCGUCACAACAUCUGGUAUGUUCAUAUCACGGCGAAAGGUACUUGCUUGAGAGAAGAACAGAAGCGCGUUACCAGUUUGUAGCACGAUGACAGCUGAAGCUGCUCAUGAAGAUUAUGGUAAAUGUUGGCAUCUUUCUUUAGUCUUUCAUAUUCGAGUUCCAAUCUAUCCACCUACAAAUGCACAAGGGUAUUAAAAAACAUUGCAUCUCCGAAUGUUAACAGCGCUUCUUGGUUGAUGUCGGUAUGGAUUUCUUUUUCUCAAGUGCCUCACCUGUUCACAUAGGCGAAGGUGGUCAUGUGAAGACCUGCCGUUACGACUGUUGGAUAACAUGGCCUUCCUUAUUGUGAUGCUUCUUCGGGUGUUCUCAGACCUGAGAUGCACAACACAUUACCGAGGGUUUGCGCAACAUGUGGGGUAAUGCAUGUCUGAACUCUGAAGGGUAAGGCUGAAUGCAAAUAGUCACAUACUUUUGUAGUAGUUCGUCCCUUGCAUCCACAAGAGUGUUAAGAAACUCACGGACCUGAAAAAAAGGUAGAAGUACAUGAAGAAAUUGGUAGAAGGCACGAAGCCGUGAAGAUAACAAAAUAUACUGUUUUCGGCUGCAAACUUGCUAUGGACAAACCCUGCAAUACAGGUGAUCCAUGGUGAUUUAACCAAAUAAAAGUAAAUCUUUAAUCAUAUAAGCACUGAACACCGUAAAUUAUCAUAUAAAACACUAAUUAGAUGCGCAGAUUCUACGAUGCCCCACUUCAAACUGCACAACAACUCCACACUGGUGCACAAUUUAGCAUAUGGAAGUUCACAGAACCACCAAAAAUUGCUGUUCCUUUUUUAGAACGCACUCAAAUCAUACCAACCACCACAUUCAAAUCAAUUGAAGAUGCAAAGCAGAAUCUAGAAGAAAAUAUUGUGCAACCUGGUGAAAGAAUUCCUUAAUACCACCAAAAAACCCAAACAGCCGACGAUACUCCUCGGUGAUCCUUCGUUUCAUUGGACCACUCAACCGGGGGAGGAGCAAGGCGUUCAAUUUUGGCCUCUUUUCCUCCUCAGCGGCCCCCAACUUAUCUGUGCCAUCCAUGCCCUCCUGCUUCCUCCUCGGGUUUCUCUUCUUCCCACUGGCACCGGCAAGUGGCAACGAUGGUUGGGAUGAUUGAGGUGAAACCUGACGGGGCAGGAUGACACUAAUAGCAAGGAGGACGAUAAGGGAAACUCGCAUGGUUGUAGAUCUGUAGCGGAAGGUUUGCGAUGAAACCCUCGAUCGCAAGAGCACUAUAAAGCUAGAUCUAGAUUUACUUCGUACAUAAGAACGUCUUAUCUUGUAUUCUAGUGGGGGGCAUGGGUUAUCACUUUGCUUGCGGCGUGUUUGCGUAAAAGAUGGAGGAUUUCACGCUAGACUUUUCAUCUUGGGACUACUGGGACUCCUUUCCUUUAUGUGAACUAGGUAUGCAAGCGGACCCUCAUGAACGCAAGUACUAUGAGGUCCUUAGGAAGAAAGAGCUCCCGCGACUAAGCGGCGAAGGAGAUGGUGAGUGAGUGAGAGGGAGGCGGCGAGUCCGACGGUUCAUCCGGCGGGGGGAGAAGGCCACAUGGGCUUCGUCGUGAUCGAUGGGCCAAUCAGCGCCCAGGAGUGGACCCAGGUCAAGGCCAAGGCAAGGCGUAUCCUUCGGCAUUCGAUGGAUCGGGAGAGGCUUCGGGACUGGAUGACGAGGUGCAGGACCGAUUUCCUUGGCGGGAUCACAGGUGCGAUUCGUUCUGAUCCGAAGAUAGAGGGAGCGAUUAGUAUCAAUUUAGGCAAAGGAUUAAUUAGUAGGGAGGAUUCUGUGAAGAGGAUCACGGGGGAUUUUCCUCCUAUUGUGGGUGGGGAUCCGGUUGUGUCCAAGAUAGGGGAGAGGAGAGAUAUCAGCCAGUGUUUUCAACAAUUGACUAUGCCGGACAGUCACCCGGAUUUGGAAGGAAACUGCAACCGAUGGCAAGGGGGAGAGGGUGCUCAAAUCAGUGUGAAUUGUAUUAGAAAAAAUAAUCAGGGGGAGGAGAAUAUGGAGGAGAUUGGCGGAAGAGGAGGGAUGAGUGUGUUUUCAGUCUGGAAAAUGAGAAUUGAUGUACAUUUACUCGGGAGUAUUUAUGGGAAUUAUUCCUCGGGAAUGGCUUUGAAUGGGGAUAUAGUGAGGUAUUUCAUAGCGGGGGGACUCUCGUUCUGCUCUUCAUCUAUUGCAUCAGUUCAGAGUUCUUCCCCAAACUUCCUAGCCAUGAGCUCAGCAAGGACUCGCAUGGCGAACAGGGGAGAGGGGGAUUGGCAUGAGGGGUCGGAGAGAGGAGAGGACCCAGUGGGAGGGGUGACCCAGUGAGAGGAGAGGACCCGCCGGCGACUCCGCUAAGCAGGCUGGCCCCUGCUACGGCCAAGACUCCCGAUAGUAAGGGGAAGGCGAAGCUAAGGUGACCCCGGGCGAUGGCUCGGCUCUCAUCAUUGAUAUGGAAGCUGCAAGGAGGGCGAUCAAGGGCUUCCUGGUGGUAGGGCAUCUCCUAUCACCCUUCCGAACCCAGGGAUCAUCGUCAAUGAACUUCGUGCAACUUUGGCUUGGCGGCUGAACGAAACGGUCACUGUUCAGGAAGUGGCCGGCGGGGACGGUAGAUUCGGCCUCAACUUCUCCGCCGAGGAGGAUCGGCGGUUCGUGUUGAAGGCCCAGCCAUGGCGCUACAAGCGCGAUGGAGUCAUCUUCGCCGAAUUUGAUGGCAAGGGAAACCCGGUAGAGGUUGACCUUGGCGUGAUGGCUAUUUGGGUUCAGGUUUGUGACCUUCCUUUCGAGCUAAAAACCGAGAGUAUGGGCUGGACCUUAGGGGAGCAACUUGGUGACAUGAUCGCCAUUUCCCAUAGAAAUUGCAUGAUUGUAGAGAAAUACUUGCGUAUACGUGUGGAAGUGCCUUUGCAUGAGCCUCUUAAGACAUGGGUAGAAUUCACUCCUCUGGGCAGUUCCGAGAGCAAUAAGUAUGAUGUUAGGUAUGAGAAACUCCCUUUGUAUUGUGAGUGUUGUGGGAUUGUAGGACAUACCUGAGAGCUUAUUGUAGCAUACCAAAGGAAAAGAGGGUAGCAUCUAUUGCUAAGAAUCUGAGUGUAGAAGCAUACUGGAAGGGAGUAGGGGCAAGUAAAAGAAUUUUUUUGUUAGGCGGUUCCAGCAAAAACACUUCCUCCAGAGCAUCGGAGGGAUGUGUGGUCAAGGUGAUCAAAGCCAUGGGUGAUCUCACGGUGAAGGACAAGGUGGCCUUGGGGACCAUGUCGACGGCCGUCGAGACGGCCGGAGGCCCAAGCAUGGAGGGCCUACCACUCGGCAAGGAGGGCGGGGUGCAUGUGGGCCUAGUGCUGCCUCUAUCAGGUGCUGGCCACGGCCGGGAGCACCUGCCAGUGCCUCCUGCUGGCCCUGGCCAGGAGAGCCAGGGGGUGGCGGGUGGAGGCACCUCAACUCAAGGCAAACUGCAUGGCCAGGAAGGCCGUGUAGUGCAGCACCUGGGCGCGGCUACUCCACCAUAUGCGUGCCUGGGUGUUGCAAAGGUGCAACUGGGAUGUACUGAUGGCCAGGAGGGCCAGGGGAAUACUGUGAUGGGUGUUUCUAGCAAGCUGCAUGCUGCUGCCACUGAUGUUCCAAGCCUCCAGGAUCAGCUUUUGUUUAAGCCAGGGGUACUAGAGGCGUUAUCAGGUGUUGUGGCUGCGAGGCUGGCCGCUCCUAACAUGGAAAAAAAUUCUGCAAUGUUUACGUUUAAUGCUGGAACCAUGCAGGGUCAGGGUAAGAGGAAAGACAAGAGGGGAAGAAAGAAGGGAGGGAAUGGAAAAUAUGAAGAAGCUCGUAAGGAAAUCAUAGAAAAAAGAGGGGCAAUCCAUUUGGCGCUCCAUCAACAGGGAGUGAUUUGAAUUUAUUUAUUUUGAGAGAGAGAGAGAUAACAAUGAACAAUUGUUGUAUGGUGAGACGAGUGUUUCCUCAAAGAGAAUUUGUAUGGGACGAGUAGAAACUAUGAGAGACCGGGAUGGGACAGUCAUUCAUGUAGCAAAGGAAACAGAGAAGGAGGAGGCUUACCUGCAACAAAGGAGGGAGUCGGUUGGAGAUGAUGGCGUAUUGACAGCCUCCGAGGAGGAGGACCGCCGGGCCACAUGAAAAUUCUAGGCUGGAACUGUCGUGGUAUGAUCUCCUCCACGGCAGUUCGCGAGCUCUUGGACCUCCAGGGGCGCAUUAAGCCGGAUUUGAUUUUUCUUUCUGAGUCUCACCUGAAUAAAUGUAAAGCUGAUGAGCUUCGUCGUAGUUUAUCUUUUGAUUGCAUGAUUGUAGUGGAGAGUGAUGGUCGGGCCGGUGGCCUAGUCUUGUUUUAUCAGAAGGUGAAUGAAGUGAUUUCGAACUAUGUGUCUUCUCAUUUUAUUGAUAUUCUAUUUAUGAAUGAUAAUAUUGUACAUUGGCGAUUUACGGGCUUUUAUGGCCACCCGGGUUGGAGUGCGCGUGACUUAUCUUGGGAUAAUAUGUGGCAUUUACAUAGUAAGGGCAAUCACCCGUGGGGGGUAUUAUGGGAUUUUAACGAAAUAUUACUAUCUUCAGAGAAAGAAGGUGGCAACAGGAGACCUUAUUCUAUGAUGAGAGAGUUGCGUAAUUGUUUAGGGGAGUGUUGCCUUGAGGACAUGGGCUGUAUUGGUGAUUCAUUCACAUGGAGGAGAGGUGAUACAAGGGAAAGACUUGACCGUGCGGUUUGCAAUGUGGAGUGGGCGACUAUAUUCCCUUGAGCGGCGAUGAUCAAUGAGGAACACGUUCACUCAGAUCAUCGUCCACUCGUCCUAGAUACAAAUUAUUUUGGUGGAAAUAUUUUUAAUUCACCCAAAGGUCAAGAGAAACAAUUUGAAGCGCGUUGACUAAAAGAGGAGACAGUUGCGGAAAUUGUUCAUACAGCAUGGGAUAAGGCAAAGAAUGUGGGUGUGGGACCAUCUCUGGCUGAUCGUACCCGAGCGGUAAAGGCGGAUUUGCAUAAAUGGGAUAGGGAAUCUUUGAGAGGCCCGGAAAAGUGAGUUAAAGAACUAAAGAAAGAUUUGGAAAAACUGCAUAGAGGAACUAUAACUAUGGAUUCCCAAGCACGACAGAAGGAGAUUCUGGUCCUUAUUGAAAAUUUGCUGGAACAGGGGGAGAUUCACUGUUUACAACGCGGACAUGCAAAUUGGCUAUUCCGUGGGGACCGUAAUACCUUUUUUUCACAACGAAGCAACAACUAGAAAGAAAAGAAAUCAUAUUAAAAAACUUCUUGGGGAUAAUGGGAUCUGGGUACAAGAAGCUGAGAUGAAAAACUACAUUAAAGGGUACUUCUCAAAUCUUUUUAAAUCUCUCAACCAAACCUGGAAGUCCUCUCCCUUGUGAAAAGAGAAGUGAAAUGAAUACUGCCCUUAUGGCUCCAUACAUGGCAGAGGAGGUCCGAAAAGCUCUAUUUGAUAUUGGAGAUUUAAAAGCCCGGGGUCCAGAUGGCUUGCACGCUAUUUUUUAUAAGAGAUUUUGGGCUAUGUUGGGAGAAGAUCUAACAGAAGUUCUCCAGGCGGUGAAUUCAUGUUCAACACCGACAGGAUGGAAUGAUACUGCAAUUGUAAUGAUCCCUAAGGUUAACGCUCCGGAAAAGAUUACUCAAUAUAGACCAAUUAGCUUAUGCAAUGUGGUGUAUAAGGUUAUUUCAAAAAUGAUUGCGACACGUUUGAAGGUAAUUCUCUCGAAUAUUAUUAGUCCAACUCAAAAUGCUUUCGCCCAUGGGAGAUUGAUCACUGAUAACAUUCUAAUUGCCUAUGAUUGUUUCCACAAAAUUAAAAAGAAAAGUGUUUCCACAAAAUUAAAAAGAAAAGAGCAGGGAAGGAGGGGUUAUGUGCCAUCAAAUUGGACAUGCAUAAAGCAUAUGACCGAGUGGAGUGGUCUUUUCUAAAAGCAAUAUUGUUGAAACUCUGGUUUCAAGAAAGUUUGGUGAAUUUGAUAAUGCAAAUGUCUGUCUAUGGAAUAUAGGGUGCAUUUCAAUGGUGACGAGACUGACAAUUUCAAACCCUCUAGAGGGAAGGCAGGGGGAUCCCCUUUCGCCUUAUUUGUUCUUGUUAUGUACGGAGGGUCUGACAGCUCUCUUAGCAAAGGCGGAGGAAACGGACAAUAUUUCUGGCAUAAAGGUUAGUAGAGAAGCACCAUCAGUGUCCAGCCUGCGUUUCACAGAUGAUACGCUCAUACUUAUGCGAGCAAAUGUUACAAAUGCGGAGGCUUUAAAAGCGGUUCUAGAUACUUAUUGUGCUCCUUCGGGGCAAAUGGUCAGUGUCAAAAAAUCAAGUUAUUUUUUAGCCCCAACACAAAAGUAGAAGAUGAAGAGCAAAUUUGUACUAUUUUGAAUAUCAUGACUGAGGCACUUAAUGAUAAAUAUUUGGGACUACCUGCCAAUGUGGGGAUGGACAAAAGUGAUUGUUUAUAAUUCCUGAUUGAUCGAAUCAUAAUGAAAAUUAGUGGAUGGAAAGAAAAGUUGUUAUCUGCUGGUGGAAAGGAAAUUUUACUAAAAUCGGUUGUUCAAGCUAUCCCAACAUAUGCCAUGUUCGUCUUUAAAAUUCCUAAAAAAAAUAUGAAGGAAUUAUUGAUGCGAUGUCACAAUUCUGGUGGGGUGACGAGGACAAUCAAAAAAGGAUGCAUUGGAUGGCGUGGUGGAAGAUGUGUGUACCAAAAGACCAAGGUGGAAUGGGUUUCCGGGACAUACACUGUUUUAAUCCGGCACUACUAGCUAAACAAGCCUGACAUUUAUUGGAUAAUCCUGAUUCAUUAUGUGCCACCAUUUUAAGAGCUAAGUAUUUUCCCGGAGGUGAUUUGAUGAGUGCAAACUUAAAAAAGGGUGCUUCUUUCACUUGGCAAAGUAUUAUGCAGGAGUGGAAUCUCUUAGGAAUGGUUACAUAUGGAGGGUUGGAACCGGAGAAAACAUUGAUAUAUCGAGAGAUGUGUGGAUCCCGGAUUGUGCGAAUAGGAGAAUUAUUACACCUAGGAGGGGGAAUCUAUUGACGGAAGUGGCUGACCUUAUUGAUCCAGUUACAAACUUUUGGGAUGAGGAUCUGGUAAGACAAACAUUGUGGCCAAUCGACGUCCCUAUGAAUAUAAUAUGCAAGACUUCAUUGCUUGGAGCUAUACUAAGAAUGGUUUGUUCAGCUUAUAUAUUCAAACGGCAUGGGAAGAAGUAAGGCCAAUCCUAUUUGGGGCUAGAUUUGGAAAUUAGCUUGUCCAGAGAAGGUUAAAAAAAAUUGGCAUACGCUUCACGAAACUCUUCUGUGUCGGGUUACGCUCGCUAAUAGACACAUAAAAACUUCGCUUCACGAAACUCUUCUGUGUCGGGUUACGCUCGCUAAUAGACACAUAAAAACUUCGCCGAUCUGUCCAGCAUGUGUGAAUGGGCCAGAGGAUACUAAACACGUCUUGCUUUUAUGUCACAAGGCUAAAAUGGUAUGGGAAAGUUUGGGGCUAUAUGAAAUGAUUAAAAACGCUAGCAUGGUGGACCGUGCAGGAGAGGCAACUCUUGAAGUGUUACUACUUAUGUUUGAUCAAGAUCUAUCUGUGUUGGGUUGCCAGAACGAAAGAGAGUUGAUCACUAUUACCACAUGGUAUCUAUGGUGGAAUAGAAGGAAGCUUGUUCAUGAGGGGAAGUAGGAAGAGGCGUCCCAAACCUCGAUGGGGAUACGGGCUAUAAUGGCAAACUACAUAAACGCCCAAUUACCAAAGGCGAAGAAGAAGAGCGGAGGAUGGAGUAGACCUCCAAAGUUUUUUUUUUUAAUUAAAUGUUGAUGCUUCUUUUGAUCGCGAUCAACUAAGAGGCACAACAUGUGUUGUUAUAAGGGAUGACAAAGGAAACUUCAUUGUAGGAGCAAACUGGAAGAUUGAGUGUUGUGUGGAUGCCCUAGCCACGGAAGCGUUAGCACUUAGGUUUGGCCUUUUGUUGGCACAAAAAAGAGGAUGCAAUCGGCUUAUUAUCAAUUCUGACAAUAUGGAAGUAAUUAAAACAAUGAACAAUGGAGGAUACUCUGCAGGAGCGAUGGCUGCAACCUUCGAGGAUUUUUUUUUGUGACUUGUGAUUUUUCUUUUACUAGUUUUGAGCAUUGUACUAGAGAAGUGAACAAAGGUAGCUCAUGACCUCACGAAAGUAGCAAAAAGUUCUGGUACAAUGGACUGGAUUGAGGAGCCUCUCGAAAAUAUUGUACCUAUUUUUAUUGACGAUGUAACAAUUGUUUCAAUUUAAUAAAUCUGAUGAUGUUUUUAAAAAAACAGGGAUGCAAGCGGACGCGUCCGCACCGUCCGCGAAGCUAAAACUAAGCUAAGCACUGCAACUUUAAUGACCGUGCUAAUGCAAAAUUGAUCAUCGCGGCCACUCGCAGGCUUCAUGGACGCGUCCGACUGCAUGCCCACUGUGAACUUCCCAAGUCAACAGAGCUGAUGAUGUCAUUUUGAUAGCAUUCCCGAAUCACACCACUAGUUGACGGAGAAAACAGAUGCGUCAUUCUCAAUCAGUAUAUCCUAAUCUCUUCUAGUCAUUUCCUCCGUCCGGGUUUAUUGGCCCCCCACAUUUUGGGUCAAAUUUUAACUAUCUAAAAUAUGACUUAUAUGGGGAGAAAAAGUAUACCGUUAGAUACGUAUUCAAAAGAGAAUUCCCACUGUAUGUUCUUGUGACAUAUAGUUUAUCUUUUAUUAUUUAAAUUUAUGAUCAAAGUUUGACCCUAAAUACAAGGGGCACUAAUAAACCCAGAAAGAGGAAAUAAUAUGUAAUUAUCAUGAAACCAACUCCUUCGCCCCCUUGUCGCUCCUGUCGACACCAGGCCGUCAAACCCUAAACCCUAGCCGCCAGAGGAGGGCCAGAUCCGUGCUAGCAUGUGCGUCAUUGUGGCGGCGGUGCUGGGAACUCGUGGCGAUGGCCCUGGGAACGGUCGCGAGCUCAACACGGUUGUGGGCGGCGGUGGUCCGUUCGGUAGUGCAGGCAAUGACAAGGACGUUAGCCGAUGGGUGUCCUUGCUGGCUAUUGUGGUGGGUUGAGAUGCGUCUUGGCAUGCUCUUCGGGAGCCCCGAUGAGAUCCGGCAAGGACAACCUGAUGGGCGCACGACGGCAACGUGCUAUCCGUCCGCGUGGGAUGGCCAGAGCGCCCUAGAGUUGGCAGCAUGUUGCUGGUCUGAUAGGCCUCCCUCCGGAGGGCUCGUUCCAUUGUGGUGAGCACAUGCAUUGGCAUUGGAGCACGUGUUAAUCGACGGCGUUGGCUGUGAUGAGUUGCAUCUUGCUGCUUUAUGUUGGAUCAAGUGUUGCUUGACUCCUAGAUCCUGGUGAUUCGCAUGGUGCAACAACCUUUUCGCUUACAGGCGGUUGUGCGAUCAUGAUGUAGCAAUAGCUGGGCUCCAUGGGGGCGCCUCGACGAUGAUGAUCUGUCUUAUAUGCUCUACCCCCGACAAUGUCAGCCCAGGGAUGACGAGGAUGAGUAGAGCUCUUGCCGGCGAGGUGGUAGUCGAUAGUGUUGUGCUCCGCCAUCGGUGUUGGUUCUUGAUGACCACCUCGGCUUGCGAUGACGACCUUGCUAUGGAUUGCAGUGGCCAUCAAAAGGUCUUUGUGAGGGUUCUCUCUCCAGAUCCGGUGGUUGACUUCGAUAAAAGCUAUUGACAGUGGCUUGAUGCAAAGGGAUGGUUUUGUAGCGGCAGCGGUCACACACCAUAUGUGGUUGGAUCCAGUAAUGAUGACGCUUGCGCGUCACUCCCUUCCUAAAGGCGUUGCUAUUGAAGAACAUCGUCGUCUAUGUGCUGUCAUGAAAGGGUUGGUGCAGAUAUGGUCAUUAUUGUAGUUUGCUUAUAACGCAUCAGGUCGCUUUGGGUUUUCUUUUUCCUCGCUUGCGCAUAGCUUUGGUCUUAUAUGACUUUGCUAUUUGCUGACAUGUUUUAGUGUGCGUGCGUAGGUGUUGGUUGUGUGAAUCCUAGCUAUAUGCAGAGACCGGGUGUGUACUCUUUGAGUCUUUGUGGUUGUAUUCUCUUGAUGCUCCGUUUUAAGGCAAUAAAAUCCACCCUUUGUUAAAAAAAAGAACAUAUUAUCAGGUCUGGCCUACCACCUGGAAGGGGGCACUUGCCCCGCUUUCUCUCUUUCAAAUUGCAACUAUGUAACUGAGCUUUGGAGGAGAAGGUGUGGUUUAUGGUAAAUUACCACGACGGUAAGUUAUAACUAUAUCAAAGUCCAUCAAAAUGGAAAACAAUCUCAUUUGUUUUGUCUAUUGUAUUGAGCCUCUAACGAUUAAGUUGCGUAUACAUCCCCCCAAUCAAAGAAAAAGCUAUCAGUUGAGGUUGUUUAUUAGGAAGAGAACACCUUGUUAGAAUAGUUCCAUAUGUGAACAUUCGUACACAACAAGAAUAUACUACCUCCGUCUCAAUUUACGAUGUUUUUGUAGGUUUACAAAAACUUCUUACGUUUUGAGACUGAGGUGGUACUAGUUUUUCAUUUUGAGUAUGAUUGAACAUAACAUGUCAAAGUAACAAAACCUCUGAUUCCCUGCUAAUGCAGUCAUUAAAAUGCCGCCAGGAUUUAAUUACAAAAGGAUGUCAGCAUUAUCCAUUAUGUGCCAUAGUUACUGACAAAAUCCUAAUUUUACGGCAUGAUGACAAUUAGCCACUACAAAAUUUAAGAUUCAAAAAAGAAGAUACACUACAAAAACUGGACCCAUUUGUUUUGGAAUGGGUUUCAGUGUCAUUGGAGUAGCAUCGUAAAAUCCAUAAUCGUUUAACAAUCAUUGGCGGUAAAAACUCAAGUCAAAGCAUUUAGCAGAACCGACAGCACACCAACAUUCCGUCGCAGAUGAACUGAUGAACUAUGCACCUACCUAGCAAUGGGAGGCCAUUUGGUAUCUUACUCCCUCCAUUCCAAAUUGUUCGAAUCUAGUUUUGUCCUAUGUCAAUCUUCUUUGUAUCUGACCAAGUCUAUAGACCAAUGUGGUAAUAAUAUCUGUAACAUCAAACAUAUAUAGUAUGAACAUGUUUUGUGAUGAAUCUACUUGAAACUAAUUUGGUGUUGUGGAUCCUGAUAUAGUUCUCCAUAGAUUUGGUCAAACUUCCUUGGAAUAGAGAGAACAUAGAACUUCAAACAAUUUGGAACGGAGAGGAGUACUUCUCUAAUCGAGCCAUUAGACUCGAAUACUAGCUUGCAAUCGAAACAAAAACCAAUUCAAGAUAUUAGCAGGGGCUAUCUGCGUUCACAGUCGUCGGGGGCACCAAACCAAUCCCACAACUGGUAACACAGCACCACCUGCCACCGGAGCGGAUCCUACGCUGAGCACACUGGUGGCAAGUAGCCUGCGAGGUCUUGUGCAAGAAAGCUAAUAAGGAUGCAGAGAAGGUCGCAUUGCACGGGGACGCACCCACCAACCUGGUCAAUGGUGAGGGACUGGGCCUGGCUGGCCCGCGCGAGCUCGUCGUACCGCGCGGUGAUCCGCCGCUGCAGCGCGCCGGCCACCGAAGCGAGCGGGAACCGCGGCCGCGGCGGCAGCGCGUCGUCCCCGCCGCCACCCGCCGCCUGCGAGGCGGCCCCAUCACCGCCCUGCUUCUGCUGCUGCCUCCGCCUCGCCCUCCGCCGCCGCCUCUUCUCCUCCCCGCCCUCGUCCUCCUCGGGCGGCGCGCUCGACUCGAGCGGCGCGGCCGCCGGCUCGGGCGGCGUUAGCCGAGGCCUCUGGCGGCGGCGGUGCAGGUGGAGGCCAAUGAGGAGCGCCGCCGGCGGGGCGGCGAGGAGCACGAGGAGGAGGAGGAGGAGGAGUAGAGCUGCGGGGGCUAGCGGCAAGUCCAUCGCCGGCGAGGGCUCGUCAUCCCCGGCCGGAACUCGCCCCUAGACUCACUGACUCUGGAAUCACUAUUUUCGUGUGCGUGGGCGCGCUUGGGAAGAGGGAAAUGGGGUGCGAGGAAUGGGAGGAAGAAGUAAUGGGUUUGAAGUCUCCGGGCGGCAGAGCCAGAGCGCCUUCGAGUGCUUUACAAGUGGUAACCUCGAGAGAGGGGCGUAUGCACGGGACGCGAGGUGAGAGCAGUAGUGGUCGAGGCUGGCUGUGGACCACGGAUAAGAACGACCGACGACGAGACUGACUACGGUGGUGUUUCUUUCCCCACCACUGACUAAAAAGUCUUUUUUUCGUCCCUAGUCAAAGAAACAUGAGGGAUUUUUUUUUAAGAAACUACAAAAAAGACUCUAUUAGAGUGACUUUUUUCUUUAGUCCCUGGAACUAAAAAAAGUCUAGUCUCUAGAAAAGAAACACCACCUACAAAGCCAAUGGUGUCUGCAACAUUGAUCGCCAAAACAUAUUUUUUUUCUUCGGGAAAUCGGGAGCUAUUUAUUCAUCCCUAAGGGCAACUCUAACAAGACGAUCCAUUUUAUCCGUUGUCGUCCCUUUGGGUCGGCGUGGACAAAAAACUUUAUUCAAUGGGGCGACUCAAACGAACAACAUGUCCGUCUAAUGUCCGUUCCCGACCCAAACUGAACCCAAAUAUGGGUCACAAAUGGAUCCGCGGCGGACAAAAACGAACGCUCCCGUCGUCUCCUUCCGUCCACUCGUGUCCGCUUUGAUUCCACCCAUCAGUGACUAGGUGGGGAGGAGCAGCAACACGUCACUCGUCCUCCUCAUCACCGCUGCCUCGCCGGCCCGGCACGCGCCUUCACCCGCUACACGUCCUCGCCGCUGCUCACGACGAGCGAGCGAGAGGGAGAGAGGUGGAGACGGGUGGAGGUACCAGAUUGAGACACACAUGAGACGUAGUGGAGACGACGGCUCAGAUCUACCGCUUGGCGUCGCCGGAACCCACGACCGGAAGCGAGGCAGACCCCGUCCCACACGGUCUGAGAUCCCCCGCGACCGCAUCCGAUGCCAACGAAGCCGCGCCGGCUCACGGCGAGCGAGCGAGAGGGAGAGAGGUGGAGAGGGGUGGAGGUACCAGAUCGAGACACAGAGGAGACGAAGUGGAG